rnacentral:rRNA from 1 species
GGUUAAAAAGCUCGUAGUUGGAUUUCUGUUGAGGACGACCGGUCAGCACUAUGUGCUUGUAUCUGGUUCGGCCUUGGCAUCCUUCUGGGGAACGGUGCUGCGCUUGAUUGCGUGGUCCGGUAUUCAGAACUUUUACUUUGAGGAAAUUAGAGUGUUUACGGCAGGCAUACGCCUUGAAUACAUUAGCAUGGAAUAAUACUAUAGGACCUUGGUUCUAUUUUGUUGGUUUCUAGAACUAAGGUAAUGAUUAAUAGGGAUAAUUGGGGGCAUUCGUAUUAACACGUCAGAGGUGAAAUUCUUGGAUUGUGUUACGACGAACUACUGCGAAAGCAUUUGCCAAGGAUGUUUUCAUUGAUCAAGAACGAAAGUGCGGGGAUCGAAGACGAUUAGAUACCGUCGUAGUCUGCACCAUAAACUAUGCCAACUAGAGAUUGGUGGUCGUUCUUUUUAUGACUCCAUCAGCACCUUAUGAGAAAUCAAAGUCUUUGGGUUCCGGGGGGAGUAUGGUCGCAAGGCUGAAACUUAAAGGAAUUGACGGAAAGGGCACCACCAGGAGUGGAGCCUGCGGCUUAAUUUGACUCAACACGGGAAAACUUACCAGGUCCAGACAUAGUAAGGAUUGACAGAUUGAUAGCUCUUUCUUGAUCCUAUGGGUGGUGGUGCAUGGCCGUUCUUAG